AAUUGCUUUUCUUCUGUAUUGUUUCAUGUUGUCAUUCUGAAGUUUAGUAACCAAGUCUUUCUUUUCAGUCUGCUUGCCCUGGUGGGAGGAAGAGGGAGGAAAUAUAAAGCCCAAGGGCUUGGAGAUCUGGCAGAUGGGGGUUCACAUCUUGAGUUCAAGCACUUGCUGAGUGACUGAGCAAGUCUCAAUCUUUCUGAGUCUCAGCGUUUUCAUCUAUAAAAUAGAGCUAAUAAAAAUAUCACACAGGGUUGCUGUGAGGUUAUGUGAAAACAGUUUGAAAUUAUUAACGGGCCCUUGGACUAGAUAUUUUAGUCAUGGGGACUAUUCUACCCACACCUCUGAAGAACAGAAACCUCUACCUACAGCCACCAUGUCAAGCUGGCUAUUCAUUCAUUUCAUCAAGAUUUAUUUGAAUACCUAAUAGGCGCCAAAGUACCUAUUCUGGUGCUAGGGGCAGGGAAGAACAAGACAGACAAGUUUCCUCCUUUUAUGCUGUGUAUAUUCUGGUAGGGGAGGAUUGUAAAUAAAAUAAGUUCAGCUAGUGCUAAGAGCUGUGAAGAAAUUAAAUACAGGGUAAUAAGACAAAAGAGUCACUUAAAGUAGGGUGGUGUGUGUUUGGAUGGGAGUGUUAUUUGACCCACAUGGGGUGGCCAAAUAGGGAGGGAAUCAUUUUUAAGGAGGUAAGGGGAGUCCUAAAUGUCCAUUGUUUCCCACGCAGGGGUGGAAGGGAGUGGUGGACAGUAAGCACGAGGCCCAAGCUGAUUAUAUCAGGCAGGGUAACUCAUCAGUCUAUAGGCUGACCAGUGAGUGAUCUAUUUUAAAUGGAGAGGCAGUGCUGACUAGAUUUUUCUCUUGGGAUUUAGAACUAAGAAACAUGGAAAGAUUUUUCCCUUGGCAUUGAGAGUUGGAGCUGAAAGGUAGAGGGUGCGAAGAGGCCCUGUGCAAGCUGAGGUUUUGGGUAAGCAGAAGCUAUGAGUAAGCAGAGGAGGUCAAUGAGUGGCUCCAUGUGGCAUGUGACUGAGUGGGAGAAGGACAAUCCAUGGGUGUUUACUUGCUGGUGAAGUUCUUGGAGCCCUCUUAGAAUCCAGACUACUUUGUAGUUGUGGUCUGCAAGAAAUCACACUCUGCUAGUGCCUUAGGUUCUAGGUUUUGGCACGUUGUCUCAAUUUUUAAUUUCUCAAUAUGUAUAUUUUCAGUAGAUCUCCCUUUUACUUAUGCUAGUUAUCUUUUGCCAGACGAAUCUUACUAAAAGAGCCAUAUGGAUCUUGGUUUGGAUCCCUGGUUUUCCUCUUAUUAGCUGUGCCUUUGAAAACUAAUUUCUGUAAGCAUUAGUAUCCAGCAACUGUAUCUUUAGAGUGUGGUACAGGUUAACUGAGAUAAUAGUAGUAAAAAGGCCUGUGAACUCAUCAAUAUUUGUUAGAUACCUUCCUCUUUUAUUCUGAUCUGAAUGGUUUUUUGAUGACAUGCCUCCCUCUCAGUAUUGACUUGUCCUAGUUUUUAAAAGUCACCCCCUUUUUUUAAGUUUAUUUACUUAUUUUGAGAGAGAGAGCAUGCAUAAGUGGGGGAGGGGCAGGGAGAGAGAGGAGACAGAGAAUCCCAAGCAGGCUCCACACCAUCAGCGCAGAGCCCCGUGUGGGGUUCUGUCUCACAAACCAUGAGAUCAUGACCUGAGCUGAAACCGAGUCAGACGCUUAACUGACUGAGCCACUCAGGUGCCCGCAAAGUCACCCUUCUUGUAGUUCUUUCACCUCUGUAGUCCUUUUAGGUGUCCCUAAACUGGAAGAACAUCAUGGCAACUACCCUUCUUUCAUAAAUGUAUGGACACUGUCAUUAGUCUUAUUGAGGCCAGUUACAUAGCAAGUGGAUUUCAGAUUGAUAAUUAUUUGUAUUUAGAAGAGAUGGGCCUGUCCAAUAGUUUGGAGCAGUGACUUCCAAAAAGAGAGUGGGAACCAGGAUGGAAGAGUCAGUCCUCCAAAUGGUAAUGAAGGAAGAAAGGGUAUGGAGAAGCUGUCUCAGAGAAAUUUGGUUCAGAAGAGGAGGGAAAAAGGAGCCGCAGAGUUCUUAGACCUUGGCCUGGCAAGGAACAAGAAAUGCUGUGGUCUCAGUAUUGAAGCUCUGGCAACCAGGUCUUAGUCCCUGUGAAGAGAGCUUCUCCCAGCCUGCAACCAGACAGAAAACCCUUUAUUUCUUAAAGCUGGAGAAGUUUUAGGAGGAGGCUCUGGUUUAUACUGGAAGUGCAGGCUAGGACGAACUAAGAAGCACAUUAAAGAUACCUGUGAAAUAUGUAUGUAUACGUGAACCUGUGCCUCAGAAAGAAUGUAUCAGUAAUUCUCUGCCUGUGCGUCAUGAUCUUCCAGAUCUUCCCAGCCUUCCCAGCAGGCUUCAGUGAGGCAGCUGUGCCAGGCAAAGGCUGCACUGUGGAGAUGUGAGAGAACCGUCCUGCAGAGGUAGCCAGGAGCGACAUCCUUGACAUCAGGGGCACAGGUCUCUGAGAGGAAGUCUGUGCACUUUUCCCGGAGGCGUUAGAAGGGUGUCUAAAAAGUGAAAUAAUCCCAGGACCAUGGCUAAUAAAACCCAGGAAGAUGGUGGCAUCCAUUUCCCUUUUCCCUUCACACCCUAUUCCAUCCAGAAAGACUUCAUGGCUGAGCUCUAUCGGGUGUUGGACGCUGGCAAGAUUGGAAUAUUUGAGAGUCCAACUGGCACUGGAAAAUCUUUAAGUCUGAUUUGUGGGGCCCUUUCCUGGCUCCGUGACUUUGAACAGAAGAAACAUCAAGAAGAAGCACGUCUCCUUGAAACUAGAACUGUCCCCUUAAGUGAUGGGAAGGAUCAGCCCCCAUUUCUUUCAUCCUCCUGCAAAGAGACCCCAGACACCCUGAGGCCUGCUGGAGAGCCUGACUGGGUGACUCAGUUUGUGCAGAAGAAAGAAGAAAGGGACCUGGUGGACCGGCUGAAGGAGGAGCAGGUCAGGCGGAAGAAGCGAGAAGAGCGCCUGCAGCAGAUCCGUCACAAUGCACAGCUCAAGUAUGCAGCCAAGCGCAUGAGACGGGAAGAAGAAGAAAUGGAGCGUCUCCUCCAUCUCAGCAGGGAGAUGCUAGCAGAAGGAACAGGGACCGAGCCCCUAGAGCAGCUGGUAUGUGGGGACGAGGAGCUGGUCCUCGCCGAGUACGAGAGCGAUGAGGAGAAGCGAGCAGCUCGUGGAGUGGACGAGGAGGAGGAGGAGGAGGACCUGGAGGAAGAACACGUAACUAAGAUUUACUACUGCAGUCGGACGCACUCCCAGCUGGCCCAGUUUGUGCACGAAGUGCAGAGAAGCCCCUUUGGCAAGGACACCCGGCUUGUCUCCCUCGGCUCUCGGCAGAAUCUUUGUAUAAAUGAAGAUGUGAAAAACCUGGGUUCUGCGCAGCUUAUCAAUGACCGCUGCAUGGAGAUGCAGAGAAGUAAACACGAGAAGAGCAGAGCUGAGGAUGAGAAGCCCAAGAGGAGAAGGCAGGAGCACCAGGCCGCAUGCCCCUUCUACAGCUAUGAGCAGCUGCAGCUCCUCCGAGACGAGGUCCUGGUGGGGGUGAAGGACAUCGAGCAGCUGGUGUCCCUGGGGAAGGAGGCUCGGGCCUGUCCCUAUUACGGGAGCCGGUUUGCCAUUCCAGCAGCCCAGCUCGUGGUGCUGCCCUACCAGAUGCUGCUGCACGGGGCCACCCGCCAGGCCGCAGGGAUCCGGCUGCAGGGACAGGUGGUGGUCAUUGACGAGGCUCACAACCUGAUUGACACCAUCACGGGCAUCUACAGUGCAGAGGUCACCGGUUCCCAGUUCUGCCAGGCCCAUUCCCAGUUGCUCCAGUAUAUGGAACGAUAUGGGAAGCGUCUGAAGGCCAAGAACUUGAUGUACAUCAAACAGCUCCUGUAUCUGUUGGAACAGUUUGUGACUGUGUUGGGAGGAAACAUUAAGCAAAAUCCCAACACACAGAGCCUUUCGCAAACAGGGACAGAGCUGAAGACCAUCAAUGACUUUCUCUUUCAGAGCCAGAUCGACAACAUCAACUUGUUCAAGGUGCAGCGCUACUGUGAAAAGAGCAUGGUCAGCAGAAAGCUCUUUGGCUUCACAGAAAGGUAUGGCACGGUCCUUGCAUCCUCCAGGGAGCAGUCCAGACUGGCUGGGUUCCAGCACUUCCUACAGAGCCUGCAGCCCGCAUUGACCGAGACUCCUGUGCCCCACGGAGAUGAGGGAGAGGCCAGGGUGCCACGGUCUGCUUCCCCGCUGAUGCAUAUCGAAGGCUUCCUUGCAGCCCUCACCACUGCCAACCAGGAUGGCAGGGUCAUCCUGAACCGCCAAGGAAGUCUUAGUCAGAGCAGCCUCAAAUUCCUGCUCCUGAAUCCAGCCGUGCACUUUGCCCAAGUGGUGAAGGAAUGCCGGGCAGUGGUCAUUGCAGGCGGCACCAUGCAGCCGGUGUCUGACUUUCGGGAGCAGCUGCUGGCAUGUGCUGGGGUAGAAGCUGAGCGAGUGGUGGAGUUUUCCUGUGGUCACGUGAUCCCUCCAGACAACAUCCUGCCCCUCGUCAUCUGCAGCGGGCCCUCCAGCCAGCAGUUGGAGUUCACAUACCAGAAGAGAGAACUGCCUCAGAUGAUGGAUGAGACGGGUCGUAUUCUCUAUAACCUGUGCAAUGUGGUCCCUGGAGGGGUGGUCUGUUUCUUCCCCUCCUAUGAGUACCAACGCCAGGUCCAUGCCCACUGGGAUAAGAGUGGUCUGCUGGCCCGCCUGGCUGUCAGGAAAAAGAUAUUUCAGGAACCCAAGAGAGCGAACCAGGUGGAGCAGGUGCUGCUGGAGUAUUCCAGGUGCAUUAAGUGCUGUGGCCAUGCGGGAGGCGUGGUGACAGGUGCUCUGCUCCUCUCUGUGGUUGGAGGAAAGAUGAGUGAAGGCAUUAACUUCUCUGACGACCUUGGCCGGUGUGUAGUUAUGGUAGGCAUGCCCUACCCCAACAUCAAGUCUCCAGAGCUACAAGAGAAGAUGGCCUACCUGGAUCAGACUCUUCUGCUGGCAUUGUGUCCAUGAAGACUACUGUUCUUGCUCCAAAGCCUGGCAGUAUAAUUUUCUCAGAACACUAAGAAGGAGGCAAGAAGAUACUGAUAGAUCAUCUCCUCUGCCCUUCCCAGCCCAGAAUCCCAGGUCAGCCCCCACCAGGGAAGGCUUUGGUGGAGAAUCUGUGUAUGAAGGCUGUCAACCAAUCUAUAGGCAGGGCCAUCAGGCACCAGAAGGAUUUUGCCAGCAUAGUGCUCCUGGAUCACCGGUAUGCCCGCCCACCU